GUCGAGCGACAGAAGGGAGCUUGCUCCCGGAUGUUAGCGGCGGACGGGUGAGUAACACGUGGGUAACCUGCCUGUAAGACUGGGAUAACUCCGGGAAACCGGAGCUAAUACCGGAUAGUUCCUUGAACCGCAUGGUUCAAGGAUGAAAGACGGUUUCGGCUGUCACUUACAGAUGGACCCGCGGCGCAUUAGCUAGUUGGUGGGGUAAUGGCUCACCAAGGCGACGAUGCGUAGCCGACCUGAGAGGGUGAUCGGCCACACUGGGACUGAGACACGGCCCAGACUCCUACGGGAGGCAGCAGUAGGGAAUCUUCCGCAAUGGACGAAAGUCUGACGGAGCAACGCCGCGUGAGUGAUGAAGGUUUUCGGAUCGUAAAGCUCUGUUGUUAGGGAAGAACAAGUGCGAGAGUAACUGCUCGCACCUUGACGGUACCUAACCAGAAAGCCACGGCUAACUACGUGCCAGCAGCCGCGGUAAUACGUAGGUGGCAAGCGUUGUCCGGAAUUAUUGGGCGUAAAGGGCUCGCAGGCGGUUUCUUAAGUCUGAUGUGAAAGCCCCCGGCUCAACCGGGGAGGGUCAUUGGAAACUGGGAAACUUGAGUGCAGAAGAGGAGAGUGGAAUUCCACGUGUAGCGGUGAAAUGCGUAGAGAUGUGGAGGAACACCAGUGGCGAAGGCGACUCUCUGGUCUGUAACUGACGCUGAGGAGCGAAAGCGUGGGGAGCGAACAGGAUUAGAUACCCUGGUAGUCCACGCCGUAAACGAUGAGUGCUAAGUGUUAGGGGGUUUCCGCCCCUUAGUGCUGCAGCUAACGCAUUAAGCACUCCGCCUGGGGAGUACGGUCGCAAGACUGAAACUCAAAGGAAUUGACGGGGGGCCCGCACAAGCGGUGGAGCAUGUGGGUUUAAUUCGAAGCAACGCGAAAGAACCUUACCAGGGUCUUGACAUCCUCUGAC
rnacentral:rRNA from 1 species